rnacentral:rRNA from 1 species
CGCGUAUGGAUUUAUCGUUGGGUGGGGGAUAACCGCGGGAAACUGCGGCUAAUACCGCAUGACGCCUGUGGGCCAAAGCCGCUGUGAGGUGGUGCCUGAUGAGGAGCCUGCGUCCGAUUAGCUAGUAGGUUGGGUAAUGGCUGACCUAGGCUGUGAUCGGUAGCUGGUCUGAGAGGAUGAUCAGCCACACUGGGACUGAGACACGGCCCAG